rnacentral:lncRNA from 1 species
UCCUUCAUGAUAUCUUGUGAUUCAACCAUGGAAAAUGCAAAAGAAUGCAUAGGAAAGAUAGAUCACAAGCUAGAGUUAAGAAAUUUCACCUUUGAUGUAUUGAUUCCUUGAAAUCUAGUGAUUUUCCUUUGAAUUGCUAAGCUAGGGUUUAGUUCUUCUUAUUUUCUUCCCUUUUCUUCCUUUGGCCGGCCAAGAGAAAUGAGUUGGGAGGGUUAUGGGCUGAUUUUUAAAGCCAAAUAAUAAAAUAAUCCAAGCUUGAUACUUGUCACCAUGUUUAAAAACUUAAUAAUUAAGCUUUCUUUCUCCAUCACAUAAAAUCCUUCAAUUAUCCAUAAUGAUAUUGGGUAAAAUUCAUGUGCUGGACAAGUGUUGGGUGGUGUAAAAUGAUAAUUUUGCCCUCGAGGUGGCAAAAUGACUAUUUUGCCCUUAUGCUAGAAAAAAUUUCAGAAUUAAAAUUUUUCACUUCUUAAACUCAAAUUAUACUCCAAAUGAUCAAUCUUAGUCAAAAAUUUCAUCCAACACUCACAUCUUAACCUCGAGUGGUAAAAUGACCAUUUUGCCCCUAGGUCAUGAAAAUUCCACUUUGACUCCAAAUCGGUCCUCGAACUCCGAAUCACCAUUUUAAGUCAUUUUGGGGUUUUAAAAUUCUCAAUUUUAUCUUAAAAUCUCUAUUUGGAUUAGUUCGAGGCUUAAUUUAACUUAAUUGUACCAUUUGGUACAAUACCGUCCUUUAACGAUUUUUGAGGUACCCAAGUAAGCAAACAUGCAUUCUUCUGUAGGAAUGGCAUAAUAAACAUAUUCUAAAGCUGGGCUUGACAGCACUAUCCCCCUUAAAAUAAAAUUUUGACCUCAAAAUUUCAUUUACUGAACUAAGAGAAAAUGUGAGGGUAUUGUUUUCUCAUCCCAUGCUUGACUUCUUAUGUCCUCCCCUUUACAGGGAAUUUUGAUUUGUUCACCUCAUUUACCUCCAAUUUAACUUGAGUACUUCACUUAUGUCUAUUAUUAUCCUUUAAAAUCAUAUCAACAGUAACCUUUACAAUUAUGAUCUUUUUUAUCGAGACACCAAACAUACUUCUAUUACUAUCAUUAAACUUGAACCAUAACUCCAUCUCAAUCAUACCAAUUUCGAUCGCAUUUUAUACUUAUUUAGGUAUACCAAUCACUAUCUUAUUACUUCAUUCCAUAUCAAACUUCUCGACUUUCAUUCAUUCAUUCCAUCCUCAUACAAUAUUGUGUAGUUUAUUGUAUCAUUAACAUGCCAUACUCAUUCCUAUACAUAUCCUCAACGUUAAGGAAGAUUAAUGGCUUCAAUUAUUUCCACAUACUUCAUGUUUACCUUACAUUUAGGAAAUUUCAAUCUUCUUAAUCCUAUUAGUCCAUCUCAUAUGGCUUAAUCGCACUAUGGAUUACAUUCCCUUAACUAUUUCCCCAAAAUUCCUUAGGUCACCAUAAAUCGUCUUCUGAUAAGAUUCUUAAUCGUUACAUUAUCUAUACAACUCAUCAAAUAUAUUGAGUUCAAAUCUCGAACCACUAAAACCAUUCUUCAUUUUAGUUGGGUACAUCACUAACUCCACACAUACGUAUACACGUACAUUCAAAUGUCCAUAUUCCUCAUUAUAUAUACGAGUCUCUGUUUUCAAAUGCCUUCAGACUAAUUUCUCUUAAUUCAUUCCCAUCCACAAUCAAGAUUCAAUAGAAUAAUCUUCAUAAUUCAUACAAAUUCUCAUCAUGCUUGUGCAUAGUUCCACAUCAUUUACAUACUUAUACUCUCUUCUUAUCAUUUCCAAUUAUAUGCUUAAGUUUCCUUAUACUAUAUAUCAUUGCAUCAUAAUAUCAUCUCCAUUAAAUUAUAAUCUAUUAUGCGUGUAUGCUUUAUAAUCCCAUUGAUAUUUCAAAAAUUUUCCUUAACUUGAUCAUUGCAUGUUAUGCAAUACCGUAAUUCCUAAAAGUCAUCCUUAUUCCUCGAUUAUCUUUCAUGCCUCUUACAUAUAUUGUAUCCUUAUUGCAUUCUGAUAUUGAUUUGUCACUUAAGACUCAGACUCAUUUGAAUCAUGUAUACCUCAAGCAUUUUUGAAUUCCAAUUUUUCAUAAUAUAUUAGGAAAGUUUCAUUAUCUAACUUCAUUAUCAAGGUCAACUUCAAUCAUCCUUUGUUCCACUCUUUCAUAUGAACAUAACAUCAUUCUCCCUUAGCCAAUUUAUAAAUUGCACUUGAAAUUGCAAAACUUGAAACUAGAUUCUCCUCAAGUACCUUUCAACGUUAAUAUGAAUAUCACUCUCAGCUUACAGCUUCUUUUUUAUAACUACAUAACUUAGUGCUUGCUUUCGCAAUAUCCAUGGCAAAACUUCUCUUGAGUAUUUCCUUGGGGAUAUCUAUCUUAAACUUAUGUCUCAUGUGAUCACUUAACUCGUGACUUAGCUGUUUGGCUCCUUAGCAAGUUUCAAAGUCACGCAUCUUAUGGUCAUCACGUAUAACUUAUAAUUCUUUCUCAAAGGCAUUUAAACAUUCUGGAAACACUUAAUCACUUAUUUGCUCUUUCAUACUCUGAGCAUAUCCUUUCCAUAAAGGCAUGCCCAACUACUCAUGCUUCAAUUUAUCUCCAAGGGUUUCUAGCAUAGCACGUAGUUUACUUGUGUUGUCACUAAUCCUUUCCUUUCAACAAAGUCAACUCAAGAUUUGUAAAUUCUCAUAAUAAUAUUCUAUAUAAACUCAUUUGCUAUAUCAUUCUUGAAAUCUUUAUUCACACUUUCAUCACUUGGUAUUGACAUCUCUUAUCAAUAUCUCAUACAUACAUCUAACUAUUCACUCGCUUUCUCUUUAGUCUUUAACAAGACUUAAUCUCUUGUCUUCUUUAUUUCUUAAGAUUUGACUUCAGUUAACAUAUUAUUCAUCUUAACACUUCACAUGUUAAUUUAUUUUUAUGUAGCCAUCUCAAAAACUCUCUAACUUUUCUUUCUCUUACAUGCCAAUAUAUAAGGCAAUAAAGAAACUUUGCAAUUUCACUCAUCAUCUUUAUCUUAAUACCUCCCCAAUGCACUUAAGACUCCAAACAACAAAGCUUAGCAUCAAAACCAAUGACCAUUCUUUAACUCGUAAGUUUCAUCUUCAUGCCACUCCCAAUUUGCUCGUGCUUUCUAGCCAUAAAGGGUUCUUAACCAAUUACAUUUAUAAAGUGGAUAAUUCACUUAAUUAGUACAUCUCGUCCUUGUAGUUAUGAGAUCAAGAUAUCUCGAAUUUAGGAUGCAUAAGUUCUUUCCUAGAGCAUAUCCAAAAAUCCACAUAUUUCAAGUCCCAUCUUAGGACAUCUUUCCCAUAUGGUGUAAUGAAUUCAUAAUAUAUGCAUCAUCAUAUGCAUAAUUACUUAUUAUUUAUGGUAUCCCACUAUUUUCAUUAUCCAUUUCUGAUCAUCUUCCUUGUCUUAUAACUCCAAUAGUUUAUUAACUUCCAGUACAAAGACCACGAAAAUAGUUCAUCUUUCACUACAUUUAUACUCACAAUCCUUAUUAAUAAAAAAAUUAUCUUUUUUCAAAUUCCUUCAUUUAUCUCUAAUGGACCAUAUUUGUUUUAGAUUAUCUUCCUAUAAUGUUAUGGCAUCAUUUUAUACUUCCUCCACUCUCAAGCUUACAAUCUUUGACUUUAUCACAUUAAUCGCUCAAAAUGUCAUCUAGAGCCUCAUUGAUUUCUUCCAUAUCUUUUCGAAUUAUAACUGCAAUUAAGAUUCCCAAUUUCACAUCUCCAUGAUUGAUUGUUAGUCUUACCACACUGUCUCCCAUUAUCCUGUGCAAUUUCAACAGACUGAACCCACUUAUUAUAACAUAGUCCCCUAGUUCAAUGUGUUUGCUCGGGAAUCAUCUUUUUUGAUACAAUUUGUCCCAUAAACCAGAAUUUCAUUUAUUUAGCUUUGCAUUCGGAAUCAUAUCAAAAACUCACAUACUAUGAUAAUAAAUAAUUUCCAACAGACACCAUCAGUUCAAAUGGCAUUUUAUACCUCGUCAAAAUCUAGGGUUAUCACUCCAAAAGUUCAUCACGUUAAUCGGUAUCCAUUUCUUAGUACUGCAAAAUACAUUCAUUGUUAAUUAGGGUGAUUGCUUAAAUCAUUAAUGACUUUCCACAUCAGUCUUCAAUAAUUAUUUAAGAUGAUCAACCAUGCCACUAAGAUAAAUAUCUUUCCUUAAUAGUCAUAAUGCUAAUCCACUUCUGUCCUACCAAAAGAUUCCCCUAUACCUCCAGUUACUUAAACAGCUAAUUUAUAAUACAUUACACUCAUACACUUUAAAAGCCAAACUAUUAACUUCUUUGUACAGAUAACUAUUAUCUCAUUUACUCUACAUCUACCUAGAGUUAAAGUAGUACAAGAUCCUACGAAAAUAUUACAUGUCAUUAGGACCAUCAUCUUAAUUUGAUCUUAUCGAAAGAUUCUACUCCAAGUCCUUCUUAAGAUCCUCUUCCGAGUUCUCCUCUUCUUGAGAUUUUCUCCUUUGUUCCUCAAUCUAGGCUUGUUGUAUUCUCCUACAUUCCUCAUCACUCACCGGUGCAGCAUUUUUUCCACAACCGGGAGAAAAAUGUCAUACAACGUUCACCUUCAUACGGGGAUUAUUUGCAACAGUUAAUUUCUCCUUAUUCUUUUCUUGUUGUUCUUUUACAUUCAUCCCAUAGCUUGGAGGAUAGUGUCGAACAACUGACAUGCCCUUCCUAAGACGAAUACCUCCCCUUGCAAUUGCCUUCCUCGCCCAAUCUCUAUGGUACUCUUCCAGUUGUUUCAAAAGGAAAUCUUUUACAGUUUUUGGAGUAUCGGAGUUGCUCUCACUUUCAAAAUUCUCGCUACUCUCGAAGCUUUCUUUAUUACGAAACUAUUAUGGAUUACCUAGAUUAGGGCGCCAUUGGCUCAUGGCAGUGGAAUCUAAUGAUCCCUUACUAGCACUAUGAGGGGUAUCGGGACUACCACCUCUUCUAGACAUGGUGUGUGUGUCACCAGCGCACCUCAAAACCUAUACGCAACCAAGUAGUAAUUACUUAAUCAUUUACGCAUCACCAGAGCAGGUAGGUUUCUAUAUGUAAAUGCAUGCAUUCGACUUAACUUAACCUAACUUAACUCAAGGCCACACUGACACUGUAAAUUUUAAAACAACUUUAAAACCAAAAGCUCUGUGCUCUGAUCUUUAAAACCAAAAGCUCUGAUAACAAUGUAAUUGUCAUAACCCGGUACUCCCUUCGAACCCGUGACAACCGUCGCAGUGUCCCGAUUGACACUCAUUACUCGGAAUGUCAACCAAAACCUCGCAAGGCUUUAAUAUCAAUUUUUCAUUUCCCAUAUGAGUAACCGUUGCCAAAUAUCAUGUUCUAAAAGAUUUUAAGCUAUUUCCAACUUAAAUUAAUAAAAAAGUGAUUUCUGUCUCACAAGGGUAUUUUGGUCAUUUUUUCUCAAAAAUUUCGAAACUAGCUAAAAAUGUAGUAUGCGAGUAUAAAAUACAUAAUUCAUAAUAAAAAAUAAAUUUAGAUGUCUAAAACAUUCAUUUACAGUGAAACUAUAACUAUUUGAAUAUAAUAAAAAUAUUUAAUAAAAUAUUAUAUUUUCUUAUAAAACAAUAUUUAUAGAGUUACCGGUAAAUAAUUUUUGUAGCGUAAAAGCUAAAUAAAUUCAUACAUAUUGUAAUAUAGAUAACCAAAGCAUAAGAUUUAAUCUAUAGUGACACAUGGGCCCAUGAACGACCAAAAGCAUCAAAAGCGGUAAACCUACAGUUUUGGAGGAUGCAAGUCCAACUGUAGCCCUCAACAAAGUGAGCUAUCUACCGACUAUCCUGAGCCUGAAAUGGGUGGAAAGGAGGGUGGUGAGAUUAUAUAAUCUCAGUGAGUAAACAAAUACCAUCUAAAAUAUGUAAAAUUAAGUAAAUGGAGACAGAUUAAAAUAAAUCAUCAUAUUGUAAUUCAUCACCUUUCAACUCAUUUCAACCAAAUAAAAUCAAUUCAUAUAAAUCGAGUAAUCAACAUGGCUUAUGAAUUUCUUAAAACUUUGGCUCGUGCCAAAAUCAUUCUCAUACUCAGUUAUCAGGGAUACCUUGGCCUGGGGCUAUCUCAAUCGAAUCCGCCAAGGUUGUUUAAAAGUCAUGUACGCAUAAAUCAUGUUUUUAUUUUGAAAACAUAGCCGUUCCUUGGCGUUGGUUGAGUUCACCCUCACGUGGUGGUUUGGCGUGAAGUGAACUCUAAAGUUGUACCUCGAGAGUUACCCUACACGCCUCUCCGACUGAGGUAAGAAUAUAAUUGGGUUAUCGUGCCCCUCUAAUAGGCUAGUCCACGGAACCCGCCCACUGUAGCACGCUAAACCCACCAAUUCAAUAAAAUCUGAACCGCAUGACAUGGCAAUUAUAUCACAAUCCAGCCUCUCAAGGCUAAAUACACAGUUCAGAUAUUUUCAGCACAAAUACCAAUUCAGCCAUUCAUGCAAAUAUUGUCAUAAGCCAUUCGAUUCAAACCAUGAAUUUAUAGCACAUGAAAACAGUCUCCAAUUACUCUAUUUUCAAACCAUCAUUUCAUUUCAAGACAAUGUUAUAAAAUCAUUUCAUUAAAUCACAUUUUAAUUACAAAAUACAAAGAUUUACCAUUUAACUCAUUUUUCAUAAAAUCACAAAAUCGGAUAAAAACCACUUUAGAUAAUUAAGAUGAUAGUAAGGUUACUCACCAUUUCGAAAGUCGAAUUUCGAGUAUUGUGAUUCUUGAUCCUCGAGUAAUAUCUCUUUACUUUUGCCAGAAUGCUUACCACCUAAACAUAAUGCACAAUAAGCCAUUUACUACAUUUGUGCUAAAUUGUUAUAAAACCAAUUCAGGCUCUAUACUAAUGCAUGAAAUGGGAUGUAAAUUGUUCGGAUUAUCGUCCAAAUAUUGUGUUCUACACAAAUUCAAUUGUGUACUUAAAUAAAACGGUAUUGGCCUAAUUCGAUCUAUCACUCGAUUAAUUGGCCAAUAUGUCCAAUUUAACUCCAAUUAACUCCAUUUUUCUUCCAAUUCUCCAAAACAUCAAACACAAUUUAAAUAACUUGAAAUAUGGCAAAAUCAUCCUCACAUUUUCUCUUGAAAAAUUUGGCCAUGGAGGUUCUUGAGGGGUAUACAGUUUUUCAUGCUAAACAUUACCAUUUUCGGUUUCCACCACCACAAUUCAUUAAAUUCUAACCAAAUAACAUAAGACAUCACAAGAUUCAUCUUCAAUAUUGUCUUUAUGAAAUUCGACCAAUGAAGAAUCCAUGAAGAAUAUGUGAUUUUUCUUACUUGUUUUCCUUCCAAACAUGAUAAAUCAACUAUAAACACUAAAAUAUCUCAAAAUCUAAUCAAAUAAAUCAUCAAAUCUUCUCUCUCCAAAUUCGGUCAGCCAUGAAUCCUUCAUGAUAUCUUGUGAUUCAACAAUGGAAAAUGCAAAAGACUGCAUAGGAAAGAUAGAUCACAAGCUAGAGUUAAGAAAUUUCACCUUUGAUGUCUUGAUUCCUUGAAAUCUAGUGAUUUUCCUUUGAAUUUCUAAGCUAGGGUUUAGUUCUUCUUCUUUUCUUCCCUUUUCUUCCUUUGUCCAGCCAAGAGAAAUGAAU